rnacentral:rRNA from 2 species
GACGCUGGCGGCAGGCCUAACCAUGCAAGUCGAGCGGAAACGAGUUAUCUGAACCUUCGGGGAACGAUAACGGCGUCGAGCGGCGGACGGGUGAGUAAUGCCUAGGAAAUUGCCCUGAUGUGGGGGAUAACCAUUGGAAACGAUGGCUAAUACCGCAUGAUGCCUACGGGCCAAAGAGGGGGACCUUCGGGCCUCUCGCGUCAGGAUAUGCCUAGGUGGGAUUAGCUAGUUGGUGAGGUAAGGGCUCACCAAGGCGACGAUCCCUAGCUGGUCUGAGAGGAUGAUCAGCCACACUGGAACUGAGACACGGUCCAGACUCCUACGGGAGGCAGCAGUGGGGAAUAUUGCACAAUGGGCGCAAGCCUGAUGCAGCCAUGCCGCGUGUGUGAAGAAGGCCUUCGGGUUGUAAAGCACUUUCAGUCGUGAGGAAGGUAGUGUAGUUAAUAGCUGCAUUAUUUGACGUUAGCGACAGAAGAAGCACCGGCUAACUCCGUGCCAGCAGCCGCGGUAAUACGGAGGGUGCGAGCGUUAAUCGGAAUUACUGGGCGUAAAGCGCAUGCAGGUGGUUUGUUAAGUCAGAUGUGAAAGCCCGGGGCUCAACCUCGGAAUAGCAUUUGAAACUGGCAGACUA